rnacentral:lncRNA from 1 species
UUGCUGUGUUUAUAAAUCUCAGGGGGUGGGGGAUAUUAAUUCUAGGGAAGAGAUUCUGCAGUGAGGAAAUUGUGUGCAGAUGCAGAUGAAAUCAAAUUGUAAUCCUUUGGGAAAAUCUGAUGUGUAAGUGCUCCCUGUUCUGGAUGUGCCAAUUCAAUGGCAUACACACUUUUUGUAUAUAAUGUAAUGCAAGAAUAAGAAACUUAAGACACAUUUAAAGAGGGAAAGAAGGGUGGAGCUCCUUGGCAACAGCCCUAAUCCCUUUGAAGGCUCUGGCAUCUGCUGAGUCAGGCACUCCCUCCCUAUGUUUCAGUUUACAAUCAGCCACUGAGUCACAGCAAGUUCCUGACUUCCCUGUUGGAACUACACUGUCAUGAACUACAGUUGCAUAUUUUUAGGGAUUGGAUACUUUUAUUUAAUCUCUUUGUUUUUGUUGUUGUUGCUCAAUUAUAAAUAAACAAAUUUUGAAUAAAUAAAUUAAAAGGGGAAAAAAAAGAGUUCUGAGCUCUCAGCUCUGAGUACAGCUGCAAGAGGCUUGUUCUCAUAAAUGCUGUCCUCGAGCCACAAAGCACACUUCAUUCUUUGGGAAGUCCUUGGAGCUGGAGAAGCAUUUUGGAGAGCAGCCAUGGGAUCCUCACAUGAAGCAUCUGGAGGCAGUGCAAUUUGUAGACGAGCUGAAGCAUAAGCAAACAAAAAGUCUAUGGUGGAGUGACUGGCCAGCUCAGUCCCUGCUCCAGGAGCAUCCCUGCAUUGCUCAGAGCUGGGAAGCUUUUACACAGCACAUCUAUGGACCAGGCUCUCUCCUGACCCUGGCGGUACCCAAGGCUCCCUGUCAGGCCAGUAAACUGACUGUGGUUAUCCAUGCCAGCUCCCUCCUUGGCCCAGCUGCUGGACAUACCCUGGGCAAGACACCUUGCAUCCCUUCAGCAGCUCCAGCAUUCUGGGGCGCUCCUGAUCGCCUGCCCUGCAUGAGCAGCCAUCAAAAGCAAACCCUUUGGUUUCUGGAUUGCUAG